GUAAGUCCAUAGGAAUCAUUACAAUGUAGUCAUUCAAAUUGAAUCAUUUAUGUGUUGUGUUUCAUAAAUACUCAAAGGCAAUAUUCUGUGCCCUCAAGGAACUCUGCUAAUUGUAAUUCAUUCAUAAGUAUGGCUCUACAAUACCCAAGAUGUACUAGUAAAAUUUUUCCCGUAGAGCCAUACUGAUGAAUGAAUCAUUUCUUGUAUCAUAUUUAUGAAUGAAUUACAAUUGUAUGUAUAAUAUGAUCCACAGUCCAGUAGGUGGGACCUCGCUCUUUCACUGCUGGGGCCUGGGGUUCAAUCCUGUCAGGGAACAAAAAUACAUUCCUCAAGUGUGGCAUCGCCAAAAAACAAAACCCCAAAGGCUUAUGCAUAGGAAAAAAUAUAUACUAUACACCAAAAUGGGAAUAAGAUUACAGGGAACUAAGUCUUUCACUGCAAAUUUAUCUGAUAAUUUUUUUUUUUUUUACAAUUAACAUACUAUUUGGGAAAAAAAAUAAUUUUAAAUAAGAGAAAAGUGACUCUGGAGGAAGCUCUGUGCACUAGAGAACAGGGGAUUUUACAUUCACACUGAAAAAAUCUAAAAGGCUACAGUAAAAUCACAACUCAAGUACAGGAUAUAAUGUGUUUCAUGACAGUUCAUCUUAAAAGAUGCAGAAAGUCUAGUUGAUGCCAUGCCUGGCACCACUAUAGACCGGGUCCCCAGGCCCAUGGAAAUAAGUGAGCAGGGAGCCACAUGCGGCGUAGACCAGUUCCAGCAGACACUGCACUUGAAAUCAAGGACAGGGAGAAGCCAGUGAAGGCCACCGGACUGCUGAGCGGCUGCUUAAUUAAUCCAUGCAUCCAUGAAUGAAUGGUCAUUGAGGAUGUUGGUAAUGUUGGAAGACUAUAUUUAAUCCACUGAGCUAUUGAAACCAAAAUGACUUGUGAAAUAGUAGUCAUUUGAAGGAGACUAGAAAUAAAGCCCCCCAAAAUCUAGAGUCACAUGUGUCAUUCUCACACAUGUAUUUCAGCAGACAAUCAUAGAUGUGUUUCAGAUAUCUGAUGGUUCAUCUCUUUAAAUAAUGGGUAAAUUUGUUUUCUGUUGUCCUGCAGGCAGAGUUAUUAGAAGGUAGAGGGAAGCAAAUUUCCAUUUAAGAUGGAAAAGAACUUGCCUAUUUAGUUGACUAUUGAAACUGCUGCCUUGCAAAGAAAUGAACUUCUGGUCCCCGGAAUUGUUUUAACCGGUGUUUUUAAGAUGUAAGUUUUGUCUUUAUUCAGGUAUGGUGAGCAGGGGACUACUGCCAGUGAAAAAAAGAUAGUUUGUUACUGUUCCGAAGAGGAGAGGGCACGCCAUGCCACACAGGGACCCACAGGUGGAUUCUUUACCCACUGAGCCAUCGGGGAUUGGCUAGUGUGAAGAAUUUCAGCAGGCUCUAGGGUAUAGGGGCUGUCCCAGCUGUCUGGUACCUGGCCCUGGGGACAGUUUUGCUGGAUAUGGCUUCCCCAGUAGCUCAGAUGGUGAAGAAUCUGCCUGCGAUGCAAAAGACCCAUGUUUGAUCCCUGGGUCGGGAAGAUCCUCUGGAGAAUGAAAUGAAAACCCACUCUAGUAUUCUUGCCUGGAGAAUUCCAUGGACAGAGGAGCUUGGCGGGCUACAGGCCAUGGGGAUCCAAAGAGUCAGACAUGAUUGAUAGACUAACACUACAACUACUACUAAUCCAAUAUGACUGGUGUUUUUAAAAAAGAGGAAAUUGGGGGACAGACAUGCAUACUGAAUGAAGACAGUCAUCUACAAGCCAAAGAGAAAGGCCUGGAAAAGAUCCCUCCCUCAGGGCCCUCUCAGGAAGAACCAACUCCAUCUUAUUUCAGACUUCUGUCCUCCAGAAUUGUGAGAUGAUACAUUUCUGUUGUUUAAACCACCCAGUCUGGGGUUUUUUGUUAUAGGAGUCUUAACAAAUGGCCUCCCUGGUGGCUCAGUGGUAAAGAAUCCACCUGCCAAUGCAGGAGACACGUUCGAUCCCUGGGAAGAUCCCCUGGAGGAGGAAAUGGCAACCCACUCCAGUAUUCUUGUUUGGGGAAUGCCAUGGACAGAGAAGCCUGGUAGGCUACUGUCCAUGGUUUCAUAAACAGUUGGACAUGACUGAGUGACUCAACAACAACAACAGAUUAACACAAAUCUCAACUUCGGCAUGUUUCAACUGUGCAAAUACCUUCUUUUAGGGUGCUUCAAUUGCCUCACCCGAAAAACAGAGGAUAAACCUUCCCUCGCAGGGCUGCUGAGAAGUUUAAACAAGAUAAGGCUAAGUGAAGAGCACCCAGUUCCCACACUGGAACAGAGUAAAUGCUCGGUAAAUAUUACUUGAGUCUUUCCUUCUUGAACAAACCAAGUAUUUCUUUCAGUUUACCCGACUGUGGUCAGCUCAGCAGCCGGGGGAUGCAGCCUGGUACCAUCGAAAGAAUCCGCUCGAAGCCCUUGGAAAACACAGAAAAAGGCUUUGACAGCUUUGGGCGGCCCCUCUUCACCCUGUGCCUUUGGCCAGGGGUGCCCCUAAGGUUUCUAUUUCGCCCUGUGCAGGAAGAAACCUGUUCCGGAGGACGGCCUCUAGGGGGCGCGCUGUCUUCAGAGCUCGAGCCUGGACUGGCCCCUCGAGCGAGGCAAGGUGGCUCUGAGGCCUCGCGGAAGGCGCGUCCCCCUUCCUCCCCGCGCAGUUUGCUCUCAGUAACUCCGGGAACCGGAAACCCCCUCACUUUCCAGCCCUUCGAUGAGCGCGCACUGAUGCCCCGUGUGCUAUAUCCCUUACUCUGGACAAACCUGUCUUACAGCUAAGUUAAUGCUCAGAGAGGUUAAGUAACUGGCCGAAAGUCACGCAGCCAGCGGACUAGAACCCAUCUCUUCCCGACUCCAAAAGCAGCAAAACAUCUUUGUGGCCCAAGAAGCGCCAAGUGUUCAGUUCUCCAAAGGGAGCCAGUUGGGAGCCCAAAGCACGCACACCACGGAGCCCUGAACCUUGACUGUAUCUGCCUACAGGACCAUUGUGAUCCAGCAGAGCAGCGCUCACGGGAGAACUGACACCAAGCCCAUAUUCAGAAAACACUCUUUAAUGAAGGC
ensembl:lncRNA